CAAACGACUCUCGGCAACGGAUAUCUUGGCUCACGCAUCGAUGAAGAACGUAGCAAAAUGCGAUACUUGGUGUGAAUUGCAGAAUCCCGUGAACCAUCGAGUUUUUGAACGCAAGUUGCGCUCGAAGCCAUCCGGCUGAGGGCACGUCUGCCUGGGCGUCACG
rnacentral:rRNA from 1 species